rnacentral:rRNA from 1 species
GAUGAACGCUGGCGGCGUGCUUAACACAUGCAAGUCGAGCGAGAAGUUUUGAAAAGAUUCUUCGGAUGAAAUUUAAAAUGGAAAGCGGCGGACGGGUGAGUAACGCGUAGGCAACCUGCCCCAUACAAAGGGAUAGCAUUUGGAAACGAAUAUUAAUACCUUAUGAAACUUAACUAGUGCAUGCUAGGUAGGUCAAAGAUUUAUCGGUAUGGGAUGGGCCUGCGUCUGAUUAGCUAGUUGGUGAGGUAACGGCUCACCAAGGCGACGAUCAGUAGCCGACCUGAGAGGGUGAACGGCCACAUUGGAACUGAGGCACGGUCCAAACUCCUACGGGAGGCAGCAGUGGGGAAUAUUGCACAAUGGGGGAAACCCUGAUGCAGCAACGCCGCGUGAACGAUGAAGGCCUUUGGGUCGUAAAGUUCUGUUCUAGGUGAUGAAAACUGACAGUAACCUAGGAGAAAGCCCCGGCUAACUCCGUG